UCCUCAUCCUGCUCAGCCUCUGCAGUGGGCUAGAAUAUAUUAAACACAUUCUUCGUGUACGUCAGUCCAAGACGUGCCACUAUAUUUUGGAUUUGUGUAAUUCAAGUUCAAAUUCAGAACACCACACAAUCCAAGGAUCGUGGGGGAGCUGAAGCUUAUCCCAGCAAACAAAGCACAAGGCAGAUACAUCCCCUGGAUGGAAUGUUAGUCCAUUACAGGACACACUUGGAUAAAUACAACCACACACACUCUCACCAGGACCAGUUUUGUCAGAAGCAAAUCAAUCUGCCGGUUUGUGUUUGGACUGUCGGAGGAAACUAGAGCACCCAAGGAAAAACCCUCACAAACCUGGAGAGAACAUACAAACUCCACACAGAAAGCACCCCAGAUAUCUGCAACCUCAAAAGCAGGAAGCAGCAAACUUUUUAAAAUGUUUUUACAAUUGUGGAUUCACAGUUCAAGAUUUAUUCAUACCCCCCAUGAAGAAGGAGCACCAAACAUCUUAUAACAAAGUAAUGGAUUCAUGUUAUACUAAAUAAAUGUUAUGCAGUGAUCUUAACAGUAUGUUUUUUUCAUAAAUAAUGAUGUCCAGACAGCACAGGGGUCAUAAUGUGUCUCCCCCCUGUUAGUAUUUUGUAAAUCUUCCUCUGGCAGGACAUACACUAACAGGAGGCCUCCUGUAGUGUGCAGUGAAGUUCUGGGGUGUGUAAGAAGACGUUUUGACUCUUCCCUUUUGGCAGAAUCCCUCUAGGUUAUUCAGAUCCUUGGAUUCCUUUCUUGAGAUUGAACCACAGAUGUUCCACUGAAUUGAGAUCUGGAGAUUAAGAUGGCCUGUCAAGAACACUGAUUUUAUCAAUAAUGCAGUUAACCACUUCUUUGUCCAUUUCGAUGUAUACUUUUGAUUUUGAUGCUGGAAUGCUGAUUUUCAGACAAGCUUCCUUGAGGAGGAAACCAUGUAUGUGACCAAGGGCUCCAGGACCUUUGGAUACAAAACAACCUAAAUACAUCAUAGACACCAUGCCAUAUUGCGCAGUGAGAACCUUUUAUACACCAAACAUAAUGCUGCUCUGCAUGUCAUAAGAACUCCAUUUUCAUAUUCAUCUGAACACACAUUGCACCUUUUGUGGCUUACUUUCAGGAAAGGCUUCCCACCACAAAUGCCACAUUCAUGCAGAGGUGAGGUUGGAUGGAAUUUUUUGGACACUUCCCGCCCCCGAAGAUGCCAUUUUGUGUUGGAGAUUUCCAACCGCUGUUUUGGGGUUUAAGGCCAACUCCCACUUGUCUCACAGCCCAUGGUGACGAGACACUUGCAUCAUCUUCCUGGCUUCUUCAUUCAACUAUACCGCUGUCAUUUGGAAGGCUCAAUGUAGUUUAAGAGCCUUCCAUUGCACAUCCAAAGAGCACUAAGGUAGAAAUGCUUUCCAACAUAAAUAAAUGCUACACUCAUGUCUUCUGGAAUUGAAUUAUUUAUGACAAACAUAACUUUGCGCUGUGCAAUGCUGUUACGAUUAAAGUAUACCAAUUUUAGUAUUGUUUUAAACAACACACCAUAUCCAAUCUUCAUUCUGUGUUUUUCUUCCUGUUUCACAUGAAUAAAUCUGGAGGACACUGUACACAGCACAGUAUGUACAGUUUUGUUGUUAAUUCACAAUGAAUUUGCAAGAUUUUAAAUCUUGGUUUGGAUGAAAAGCUGGUUUAGAUUCUAGGUGUGUACUGUAUGAAUAGAGAAAUCUAAAUGAUUAAGCAGCACACCAUGCAGUCUGCACACUGUUCAAAUUAAAAUAUAUAUGAACACAGUAA